CUAGUCUUCAAGUCUACAAUGAACUUCAUCCAGCUUUUGUUGCUUCUUGUUCUGGUGGUACUUACCAUAUAUGUGAUGGGAUCAGAUGCUUCUCCCUGGAGAUGGCACAGAAGAUGGUCUGAUUCCAGCAGCGGUGGUUCCUGGAGCUGGAGUCGUUGAUAUCGAGAAUGCUCUGCAAAGGAAAUGGUGUCAAAUCCACAUGUCUCUGAAUUCGGCCAAAAUUGUGAAAAAAGUGAAAAUAACUGAACAAAAUGUAAAGUAAUUUUGCAUUUGCGUUCUACAUGCAUAUUAGACAGGGGAAAAAAUAAAUGUAUUGAAUCAA